rnacentral:lncRNA from 1 species
GCGUGGUUUGCUCCAGAAAGCUCAACAGGAGAGUGAUCUAAGUUGGCUGUGCCUCCUUCUUUAUCAAAGAGAGGCAGGGGAAGUAUGCUUGG